rnacentral:lncRNA from 1 species
UAGUAAGGACUAUGGAACACUUGGGUUAUGAUAAGAAAUGAUUUAUGAAUGCUAUAAUGAGGUACCAUCAUAUUACUACACUUGUUUGCAAUAGUACAGGUGCAAACCUAGAUAAUAGGUAAUGAUAAUAACGAACUUGAGCUAAUUAAAAGAAGAAAAGUCUUUGGGCUAUGUUCAGUGGAACAAUGCUUUUAUGCAAAAGUCUCAGCUACCCCACCAUAUAGCCUUCAUGAUCCUUGAAGAGUCUUUAUUUUUGGUUAUGACGGGUAAGUCUAGCUGAAUACAUUCUCGUACUCAGGGUUCUAUUCCCAUGUUGUUUUGCAGAUGGUCAAAUGUACUAUGGUUAUUGCAUCCUUUGCCUGUACCCAGCAAUGGGCGAUGACUAGACCAAGGGCGAUGGUCACUCUACCUCCUCUUUUGCUUUUGUGGGAAUGACCGAACUGUGGCACUGUACCAGACUAAGUGUGUGUGUUAUUUUUAAACUAUGAAGCUUCCGCUAUUUGAGAACUUGGUUUGUAAUAAUUUCAAGAACUCCGAUGUAUUUUAUGAAUGUGGUGAACUGGAUUUAAUUGUGAAUGGGGACCGCUAAACUUAUUACGAUCUUGGCUGUAUGUACGAUAUGUGGUUUGAAAUCCUUUGAGAUUUCACGGACUACCGGGAUUAUAAGGACUUAAGCUCAAUGGUUUGACCGUGCAAAUGGUCACUAUUAGGCUUAAUCUCUUAUAAUUUGGGCGGUUCUGUUACAAUACCUUCCUUACACUUGAGGCUUUUGAGGGGAAUGAGAUGCUCUAUAUUUUAUUUUUAUUUUCUCUUAGGUGGGUAUCUUGUACCCCUAAUUCUACUGUCGGACAGUUGUCCAUUUUUACCUCUCGUCUCACUUUUUCUUUCUUUUUUUUGAGGUUUCGGGCACUUGCCCCUUUUUGUUUCCUCGUAUUCACUUUUUUCAGAGCACUUACCCUCCUGGAAUAAUGUAGCAAGUGGUAGUAACCAAAAUAUCUCGAGCAUUUAUUUCACGGGGAAUAACAGGGAUAAGAUAAUGUUUUUGGCGUCUCUCCUAGAUAGGAGUAGAAUAUUUUUUGGUGGUUCUGGAGAUGGUAAUGAGUGGAUAUAUGUGGAUGCGUACAUCUAGAGUAGAAGCAGCAUGUGUGAGUGAACGUGCAAGUGAAUCUUGAUUUAACCACAUGACAAGCUCCUAAGGGUCUACACACCUUGACCACACUCAAUGCUCAUAAGCAGUAAAAAGUAAAUGUAUGGUUCAUAGUCUAAUAAGCAUGUAUAUAUGGUUAUGGUAGGAUUUUAAACUCUCAUCAUACAGGAACUCAUCAUGCAACAUUUUAAAGAUUUUCAAAGAUAAAAUUCUCUAGAAUUCUAGCAUCUCUAGGAACAGAUAAACAGCAGCUCAACCUUCCCAUAUCGUAUCCGUUAACGACUUAGACUUAGAUCAAGUACUCUUCCCACAAGUUUAAGUUUAGAGCAAAUCUUAAUUGAUAACAGUCAUGCCUAAACUUGAGAGAGAUUUCAACUUUUAGAACUAGUCAUGGCAAAGCAACUAUUCAUCAUUUCCAUGUGAGAGCUUAUCAUGAGGGUUCAUAGCAAACUUUAUUUAUUUUUUAUUUAGCAAACUAAGCAAAGAUAUAUAUAUAAGCACAAAAUCUUUAUUUGGGUUUUUAUGAUUAUGCAUCUUUUUAUUAUUUGAGUAAAGUAUAAACAUGAGUAGAAUACUUAGCUGGAUAAAUGGGGUUGCUCUCCCCCAAGCUGGAUUUUGACGUAAUUUCUCCUGAUGUAGUUAGCAGGUGGCAGAGGUGUAUUUGAAUGUCAGCAGCACCUUGACAGCGAUUAGGAUGUCCUCCGGCUGCUAGUCUUCUUUGAUCCUUGAAUUAUGUGGAGCUCAAAUAGACAACAAAGCUUUGUAGAACUGGUUAAGUGUUAGCAUAAAAUCUCUUAGCCUUUAUCAUGUUGAGCCUCCUCAAUAAAUGUUACUCUCUUUAGUAGGAUCAUAAUUUUAUUUUUAUAUUUUUAUUUUUAUAGGACAGGAAUAUAUUUAUUUCCUUCUUACACCACCACAGUGAAUGUACUUAUGGGUUUUAUACCAUGAGCAUACUCACAUGGGGCUUACUAUUUUUAACAUUUUUAUUUUCUUUUCAAGAUGAUAUGAACCUGAUUAACUAAGCAAACUAUUUUAAAAUAAUUGAAAGGAAAAGGAUAACUACCAAGUUUACCUCUUGGCAAGGCGUUCGGUGUUUUUAAGUCCUCCGAACAGGUCUCUCUGUUUUCUCAGUCGUCCUUGGAUUUGCUGGAUGGCGUAGUCGGUGGUUCCGGCGCCUCCUCCUCUUCUUGUAUAACUAUCUUCUCUCUCCACACCUGACUCGGUGCUACAGUCUCCUCAAGACUAUUCUGUUCAAGUUACAUGUCUUCAGUCCUUACCACUUCUCCUUCGUAGUCUGCCCAUCCGUCCUUGAUGAUUUGCCUCCUCUAGUUGCGGUUACAUCGUCUUCUUUUUGUCCUGACCUACUUAGAGUCUUCAAUUAUAUAGUUAGGGUCAGUAAAAUAGUGGCGUACCUUCUCAUAGGGGAAGUGUAUGUCAACUUUUUCGGUUCCAAUGUAGAUGAUUGCUUUAACGGUGCUGAGGAACGGUCUCCCAAGGAUGAUGCGUGGAUCGUACUUGUCUUCUCCCAUGUCAAUAACCUUUCAGAAUGUCUGAUCUGCCAUCUGGAGCUGAAUGUAUAUCGGUUUUAGGGUCAUGGUUCCAAACAGGAGUCAUCCUUUUUUGUCAGGAACGGUGACUUAAGUCGACGAUCUUGACCUCCUUGAACUGCAGUGACCAUCUUAGCUGACUUGGUCCACAUUUGCUUGUUCUUGUUCCUCCUGUUGGUCCUCUUCCUUGGUUCAUGUCGGGAAUGCUUUGAGAUUUGUGUAGUCUUGUUCUUGAAGGAAAACAUCUCCUUCCUUCCCUUUAUGUAGAAACUGAUCUUGGCAGCACUAGCGUAGAUGACAGCUCCCGAGGUGUUCAGGAAUGGUCUCCAUAGGAUGAUGGGUGCCGUCUCAUCAGUACCAGUCUAUCACUACGAAGUCUGCUGGGGCGUACAAGGUACCAACUCGGAUGUAGAGGUUCUUCAAUAUUCCCUUUGGGAAACUUAGCGUACGAUCCUAGGCAUAAUGUUGACGCUAGAGCCAAAGUCGCAGAGUGCUUCCGGGAAGUUCACCAUGCCGAUAGAGAUCGGGAUAACGGGGCAUCCUAGAUCGCCUCUCUUGACCGGCUGAAGGUCAGUAAUUACUUCCACAACAGGGUUACUCUAGUAGUUACGUCCUCAAGCGUCCCAGGACAAUGAUUGCCUGAGUGUCUAGUAUCUCCAGUGUGUUUGUGCUCGUAGAUCUAGGUUCUUCACUUGGUGCAGUCUAGGAGUUGUAAAACUCCUUCAUAUUUUGCUCGAAGUAUACUUGCUCAUAGAGACAAGGCAGUGAUCAAGUGCAUGGGCCUUGUUGGUGAAAAACACCAACAGAACCAAAAGUGUAUUUGUUCUCUCUAACCUUAAGCAUAGUGAGCAAGACAAAGUUGAUGGAUAAUAAGAUCAUGUGUGUAACAUUUAAAACAUUUGUCAGAUCAGAUCGCUCAACCUAAUGGAAAGAUAAUCUAUCAAAGUAAAUGUUUUUUUUUACAUGACUAUCAUUUUCCAAAGAUCGGAUGUGCAACAUUUUAGCUCAUAUGGUUAAGAGUGUGGGCUCAAGAAGGUAGU